CCCGCCGGCGACCGGCGCACGGGUGAGUAACACGUAUGCAACCUGGCCGCCACAGGGGAUAACCCGCGGAAACGCGGCCUAAUACCCCGUGACGCCACCGGAGGGCAUCCUCCGGUGGCCAAAGGAGCGAUCCGGUGGCGGAUGGGCAUGCGGCGCAUUAGCUAGACGGCGGGGUGACGGCCCACCGUGGCGACGAUGCGUAGGGGUUCUGAGAGGAAGGCCCCCCACACUGGGACUGAGACACGGCCCAGACUCCUACGGGAGGCAGCAG
rnacentral:rRNA from 1 species